rnacentral:lncRNA from 1 species
CUGUGAGAUCCAUCUCGGAUUGUUCUGAUUAUUCAGAUAUGCAAUCAAAGGUCCUAGAUCAGAGCAAUCCUCUUCUGAUUUUUUUUUGAAGAUUGAGAAGAGGUACAAGGGGGAGAAUUCUAAAGAUAAAAAUCUAGAGCAUCUUAGAUCUAAGAGAUGUGUGAAGAAUUUUUUUUUAGAUUUAAUGUUUGUGGGUUAGCAAUCAAAUUAUACAAUCAAUCCUAGCUAAGGUUACCUUAGAUCUAGACAGCUCCUAACUGUCAAAGUCAUCUUCGAGCACUCCAAGUAAGAGACUAGCCACUCAACUAGCUAGAUAAGUGUAAGGUUGGUGAGGGUCCCUCCAUUGCUUU